UACGAAGGGGGCAAGCGUUGUUCGGAAUUACUGGGCGUAAAGGGCGCGUAGGCGGCCGAUCAAGUCAGGCGUGAAAUUCCCGGGCUCAACCUGGGGGCUGCGCUUGAUACUGAUUGGCUUGAAUGCGGGAGAGGAUAGUGGAAUUCCCAGUGUAGAGGUGAAAUUCGUAGAUAUUGGGAAGAACACCAGUGGCGAAGGCGGCUAUCUGGCCCGUUAUUGACGCUGAGGCGCGAAAGCCAGGGGAGCAAACGGG
rnacentral:rRNA from 1 species